rnacentral:misc_RNA from 1 species
GAUGAAGAACGUAGCGAAAUGCGAUACGUAGUGUGAAUUGCAGAAUUCAGUGAAUCAUCGAAUCUUUGAACGCACAUUGCACCUCUCGGUAUUCCGGGAGGUAUGCCUGUUCGAGCGUCAUUUGUACCCUCAAGCCCUGCUUGGUGUUGGGUGUUUGUUCCGCCUCUGUGUGUGAACUCGCCUCAAAACAAUUGGCAGCCGGCGUACUUGUUUCGGAGCGCAGCACAUUUUGCGAUCCAGAUCAACGUACAGCGGCAUCCAAGAAGCCUUAUUUAACGCUCUUGACCUCGGAUCAGGUAGGGAUACCCGCUGAACUUAAGCAUAUCAAUAAGCGGAGGA